rnacentral:lncRNA from 1 species
GCCUUCAUAGUGCUUGUAAAAGUACCUUGGACGAGUAGGAUUCACCUUCACUCUGCUAAUGAACAAGGUAAUAAAGAAUACAUAGCCUUAACUUCAGUAUUUAUGUGAUAGAGUGCACUGAACAGUCUGUACACUGACCAUGACUUGGUACAGCCUGUGCAGAACACAACAGAGUUUUUUUAGGGGUAUCAUUUAUAGUCAAGGAUUAGUUAGAGGGGGACAAAUGUUCCAGAAAGGGAGUCAGAGAGACAGUAAAAUUCAUCUUAUGAUGCCAAUAAAGCUUCUCGAAUUGGAUUGAGGGAGUGGAAAUGAGUGGAAGAGGGGGUGGGGUCGACAGAAGAAGACAACGGAUGACAGAUGGUGGGUACCAGACAGAAAUAUAGGGAGAAGGGGGGGGGGGCAGAGAGAUGAAACAGCAGAGAGUAAUCAAAAUGGAAAGAGGGGGAUACAGAGAGAUAAAGGAGGAUAGAAAGACACAAUGCAGUCAGAAAGAGGAGGAUAGAGAGACGCAAAGAACAAGAGUCUCAGAGGGCCACUGCUGCUCGGCUAGCCUCUCUGCUCUAUCUGCAGUGCAGCUAAGGUCAGGGCCUCUCCAGCUCUGCAACUGGCUGCUCCAUCCUCAUACUUAUGAUUGAUCGCUGUUUUGUCGCACUCUGAUUAAGAUGCUUUGUCUGAGCACUUCCCUUCUAUUGACUUUUUGGUGUUUUCCUCCGUGUCACACCUCUCUCAGCUCUUGACUUUCUGCAUCUCAGUCUGUUUCUACUGGUGCUGUCCCUUUGCUCACUCUCUCUCCUGCCUGUCCUACCCUGAAAGGUCAAUAUCAUCUAUUUGAUCUUGGAUUUGCUGACUAUUGUGUUAUUUAUCCAUACAGAAGACGAGGAGCUUCUCUGGUCUAUUAAAAGCUCAAUUGACUCCAUCUGUUUCUCCAGCUCCAUUAAUAUCCCUAUGAUUAUCCUCUCUGGUUUGUGUGUGUGUGUGUGUGUGUGUGUGUGUGUGUGUGUGUGUGUGUGUGUGUGUGUGUGUGUGUGUGUGUGUGUGUGUGUGUGUGUGUCGUGAUUGUGACUUGUUUCUGAGUAUUUUUGAAGUUGCUGUAGAGGGGAGGGACUGAGGGUUUAUUGUGAGUUGAAAACUUCUAUGCGUGUGUGUUCAAUGCCAGUCUGGUGCAGUGGGACGAGAGAAGAAACUCUAAAAAAAAAAAUGACAUCCUGCGUCAGGUAUCAUCCUUGUUGUAGAAUAUUGCUCCCCCCUCCCCCCCUCACCAGCCCUUGCAGGGGCUUCCCCUUGAGAGCCAGGGUAGUAAGAGAAAAAAAAAGACUGAGACUGACUCUGCCUGCAGUCUGUACAGUCAGGUCAUAGCACACUUACUAUUGAUUACUGCAGGCGCUUAAUUCCCCGUGGGGAUAUUCUAUGACUACUAAACUAACACCGCAGGAGAUAAAAAUAUCACAAAAUACAACAUGCUCAUUGUUAGGAUAUUAUCGACCACCUCAGGCAAGCUAUUAUUUUCCUGGGGAAUAUUAUGAGAAGAUUACAGUGAUUUCUCUAUUCUUGUCAGGAUCUGCAGAGCAGGUGUCUUUCAGACAUUAAGGUUUCUUUCAGUCCCUGUUGAACUAUUAUGUCUGAAACACCUGUGAUGUUAACUUUUAUAGCUAUGGAACAUGAUUUCCUGCUGUAUACUUUACUGCAGUCCUAAGAGUUUCUCAAAUCAUAUUUUAUAGUCCUUGAGAUCCAAGUCAAAGGACCACACAAGGAAGCAUCCAAAGACUGUAUUAAACCUGGACGUUGCAUUGAUUUCACUCAUUUUCUUAAGAAGAGAUGGUUUCCUGAUGGUCCCUGAGCUUCACCAGCAGAGCAGUGAAGCCCAGGGGUGGUAGUUGUUCUAUGGUACACUGCUUAAAAAAGGUUAAAAGGAAUGCUUAAUUCACACAUCCCACAACUCAAUAAAUGUGAUAUUUUAGUUAAGAAAUAUUGAUUGAUUAUGUAGUUCAAUGCGAACACAAUAAUAUGAGAAUGAUCAGAAAGCAAAAUCAAUAACCCAAUAAGUGGUGGACUCAGAAUCAAACCUAAAUGUGCCUAUAUGCACUCCCCACAUCAUCUAGGCAUGCUUCUGAUGAGAUAAUGGAUGGACUCUUACGAAAUCUCCUCUCAGACCAGGAUCAGGGCAUCAGUCAGCUUCUAGACCAUCUGUGAUGCCAACUGGUGGCGGAGGAUACAAUGCUACGUGAUGUCCCAGGAGUACUGGAUUGGAUUCAGGUCAGGGGAACUGGAGGGAAAGACAAUAGAAUCCAUGCCGUCAUCAUUCAGGAAUUAAAUAAUUAUAGACCAAUUUCUAUAAUAUCUGUAAUCUUUGAAAAACUUAUCUUUCAUCAAUCAUUUCAUUACUUAACUCAAGCUAACAUUUUAUCUCCAUAUCAAGCUGGCCUUCAACCCAAUUUCUCUACAACAGCUCUUCCUAAAUUCCCAAAUGACUUGCUUUUAGUGUUUGGCAUUGGCCAAUUUACAGGUGCAAUAUUCAUUAAGCUUUCAAAUGCCUUCCACAUAGUUGAACAUUAUCUUCUCCUUGACAAACUCCAUCACAUUGGAAUAAAUCAGAUCACUGUCAUCUGAUUCAACUAUUGGGCUCUUUUUUCAUCUAUUUUAUCUGAUGUUCUCACAUCCUUAAAAUUCUGUGAAUAUUCAAUCCCGAGUUAGGCCUACAUAUGAAUAUUAUUAUAUUCAGUUACUUGAACAAAGUUCACUUUAUAUGCCAACAUCUAUGAAAGAAACAGUCAGGCCACGGAGUGCAAUGCGUCCUUUACACACAGGUGGUUCCAAUUUUAAUGCCAUUAUUGGAAUUUGUUUAUGUUGUGAUCUGUCACCUUUGUCAUGUGGAGUUUAAAUAUAUACAACUUUAUGUGAGUGUCUUUAUUUGUGGAAAAGGGUGUUUGUCUUACCAGUGGGUUCAACGUUAUACACACCAAAUCCAUCUGUGCUUAUUUGAGAGAGUAUGGAGGACACCCUCCGCAGCGCUUUCUGCGACACUUGUUGAGGUUGUCUCUUCGACUACUUUACGAAAAUUGUAAUACGCCUUGCCGGUGGUGGAUCUAAAGGUGAGGAGAGGAGCUGAUGUGCUUGGUGAAAACAGGAUAUUGGUGCGGCGAACCUGAGUUACGCCAUGUCCGCACCAUGCCACCGGCGAGGUACAAAAACAGAGCCCGUUAUCUUCACAAAAGGCAUCAAGAUGUUUAUGUCAAUGGCUGUCCAUCUAGUAGAAUGUUAAUUGAUACAGGUAUUCCACAAGGCUCUAUAUUAGGUCCACUUCUUUUUUUCCAUUUUUAAUAAUGACCUACCUUAAUUGUGAGCAACCUGUCAUGUUUAUUUUUAUGCUGAUGACACUGUUAUUAACUUUUCCAAUCCGGGAAUAUCACAAAUUCAGUAUAACCUGAAACAAGUUUUUAUACUGUCGAACACUGGUUCAAUCAAUAACAACAGGGUUGUUCUUGAUAUGAAAAAAAAGUCCUGUGGUAUUUGCUGCAAACCAUGGUUUAUCACACUCACCUAAGUUGCUAAUUAAUUAUAGUGAUGGAACUCUACUAGAGAGAGAGUUAAUAUAUCUAAAUACCUUGGACUUUGGAUGGGAUGUCUGGGUUUUCUCCACCGUUCAAUCAAUUGUUUUUCAUUUCAAGUCAGGAAAAGUGGAAUUCCACAACUAUUACUUCCCAUACUCGAUUAUGCUGACUGACUCUAUCCUCAAACCUCUCCAUAUUUUAAAUAACUCUUUAUGCAGAAAUGUCUUGAGAUGUCCAUUCAGAAAUCGCCACCGCCACAUGUACAAGGUCUUCAGUGGCUUUAUCCUAACUCCAGGCGUCAGUUUCAACAGGUCUUACUCCUUUUCAAAUGUAUCCACUUAUACGUCCCAUCAUACUUAAAAACAGCUUCUGGUCCAGUAUACAGCUCCAUAGUACACAAAUCCAUAAUGAAAUAGGUCGCAGGUCAUUCAAGUUCAAAGCCCCAUCUGAUUGGAGGAAUCUUCCUUCCUCUUUCUAUCUUGAGAUCAAAUUUAUUUUCCCACUUAUGAACAAGCUGUUCAUAUUUUUAAUUUUGUUUUGUGUUUUAUUCGUUUGAUUACGUAAUUCAAAAUUGCUGUUGCAUUCUGUUGCUCCUGAUGUUGUAUGGUAUGGGCACAGGGUUAUGUGUAUGUGUGUGAGCAUUAUUUUUGUAAGCUAGUGAUGGGGUGGGUGGGGUGUGGGGGGUGUGGGGGCUGUGGAAGCGGAAAAGCAGUGUGUUUUGUUUUUGUUGUGUACUAUUGUACUGUUUGUUUUUUGUAACUGUGUUGGGACCCCCUCCAAGACGAGAUGCUGCAUUUCAAGGAGCUAUCCUAAAUAAAUUAAAAUGGAAGUGCUUGUACACUCACCAGGAGGAAAUCAGGGUCCACUGCACCAACAUAUAGUAUUAAAAGAGAUCAAAGGAUUUCAUCUUAGUACCUAUCAGGAGUCAGGGUACUUCUGGUUGCACAUGGAGGUCUGUGCGGCCCUCUAAGGAUAUGCUUCCCCAGAGCAUCACUGACCCACUACCAAACUGGUCAAACUGGAGGAUGUUGCAGGUAGCAGGAUGUUGGCUUUAUGAUGCCAGGCUGUGGGCACAGGCCCCACUUGUCGAUGCUGGAUCCUCAUGACCCCUUGCACAUCUCAUGGUGUACUGGCUUAUCUCCCAGUGUCUUUCAAUGAUUUUCACACAUGCUGGGAGACAGAGCAAACCUUCUGACCACAGUGCAUAUGCAUAUGCCUGGAGGAGCUGCACUACUUGAGCAACUUCUGUGGGUUGCAGAUACCGCCUCCUGUUGCCAAUAGUGGUGAAGGCGCUGGAAAAAGUAGGUUUCAGAUAAUCUAAGAGAGGUUGUUCAAGAUGCUCAUAUAGGCUUUUAAUGUUGAAGUAAAACUGACAAAAGUUUUCUUUUUUGUAAUAACAGCAAGAAGAAGCAACCAAAGGGCUAACAACAGAUAUUUUCAGAAACAACGUGCUUCUUGGCUCAGUGAAGACAAAAUCUGUGGAAAUUGCUCAGAACAAAUCAAGUCAAAUUAGGUUGUGGAAGCUGGUGAGACACAUUACUCUGCUUUAAUAACACAAAAAAAACAGCACUUAUGCUAUCAUUAGCCCUGCUGUGCAUGUGAAAUGGGGAAAAGAGACUGUGGAUGUCUGAGAUCUUCAGGUCCAAAGAGCAUUUUUGAUGAGACAGCUUUUGGAAGGAGCUUUGUUCUACAUAGUCUGUUUUUACUCUAUUUUUACUCUAUUCAUUUUGAAUGCGUUCAAGUUGCAUUCAGAUCUACAAUCUAAAGAAUCAAAGACUAAUUGCAGAAAGACCUCAGUAGAUGAUUUUUUCACAGUUGCCUUGAGUAUGUGUGAAAUCAAAGUGUGUAUAACCAGUCUGUAGAUCAACAUUUAACAUCACCUCAGGAAACUCUCUUCCCCUGCUGAUCGUCACAAGUAUCUAUUUUAAGUAAGCGUACUUAGCUUGCUAACAAUAGGAAGCUGCAGACUUUUUUUUGUCAAGGCUUUCUUGCAAUGAACUGCCAACAAAUGGCUAUUGACCUAGUUAUAUACUUUUUUACUCAAUUAUUUUGACUCCUGAAAAUAGGAAACCCUUCAUCAUUUUUACGUAGCCAGUAGGAUGAUUUGUAAUUUUGAUACUACAGAUUGCACAAUGGUCAUAUUCCAAGGACCCUCUGUGACUUUAAUAACACCAAUGCAUCUCAUUACAGGCUGGGCACCUCCAGUGUGGCAGACAAUGUGCCAGAUGUUACCAGGGACAUUAGGGACACUGCAGUGGAUGGAUCUCUGCCUGUACCAAAAGCUACUGAUUGGCACAAGAUCGCCCUGGGCUUCAGAGGGAGUUGGAUCUCUCCCAGUAAUUUUGGAGCAAUGGAGGUGAAUCAUCAUGAAAUACAGAUUCCCAGAAUUUUGAUUGAAAGGAAAGUACACUAUUGUACUGGCAGUAGUGUGUGUGUGAAGUCUGACUUCAGGUCAGGGAUAAAGAAGUUUUUGGUCAGAUGGGGCGAACCUUGCUGCCUCUCUCUUUCCUCACUGGAUGAGAAGCCAGACCUCCAAAAAGAUAUCUAAGACCUAGGGAUAAUAUAAAGUUUGUUAACGGAUCAUGAAUACUAACUCAUUAAUAAUACAUCUUAGUACUUCAUCGUGGGUCAUCUGACCUUGACCCUGAAUAGUUUUUAACUGAAGUCUAGGAGGGACUCCUUUUUUUGCACUGUAGUAACUCAAAUUUGAGUUUAUCUCCUUACUUCACACUGAGGAACAUAAAAAUGUCAAUCUCUCCAAUACCCUACAACAUUGAUUUCUAUUGUUGAACAUUUAGUCUGGUAUUGUUGCAUUUUGAAGCUAUACAUUGUAAUGUCCUCUGUUACCUCUGUUUACCAUCAUGCGCAUCACUUACAGGCACAGAAGAUGGCUUUAGAAGUGUUGCUGCAUAGUAGAGAAUCUACCACGACAUGAUUGAAGUGAGCCCUGCUACAUAUGUGUAUACCUUUGUUACAGCAAAAAUGGUUCCUUAUUUAAUCCACAGAUUGAAUUUAAGGCCACCUGGAGGUCACCACUCCACUAGAAGAAGCGAACAUCCCUACAGUUCAACAUGUAAGGAGAGGCCUCUUGCUGCUGGCCUUUACAGCUACAUCCCUCCACCUCUGGUGAAGAGCCCUGGCAGUAGAAAAUAGCAGAAAUGCCC